ACCUUCAGAGAACCGAGGGCUUCAAUUUGCGAACGUGUAGUGUGCAUAAGUUUAUUGACAGUCAAUUCAGUGAGUGCUCGGAACUGAAUAUUACGUGCUGCAUAACAAACAGCUCGUGCUCUGUUGCUCAUCAAGUGUGAAAAAACUAAAAAAUGUGUGGCUUAAACUAAUGCCCAACGAGUGAGAGUGAGCUUUAAAACUGAAUGAAGGGGGCCCUGGUAAUGAUUCUCAGUGGAGGUCCUCUUCAAAGCUACCCAGUAGGGGAGAAAUGUGUGCAAGUUGAAACACGUAUGUGCGACACCCCUCUAAAUAGAAACUUGGAAACAUCUUUCUGCCCUCUACAGCAGACUGACAAUUUAACAGGUUGACACUGAGCUUCGCGAGCUCUUCUUCACUAAGCUUGCUGCAGGAACUUUGUAUUCUCAUAAUGACUUUGUGCUGACAAAGUUGGAGAGGGGAUGGCUAUCAGGGGGACGCCGGGGACGCCAUUAGCAAUUGAAACGUCAGGUUCCUCUGGGGAUUUACUCCACAUCCAAUUUAAAAUUGAAGAAGCCUCGACGCAUGUUAAUGCCAAAGCACAACUUCACUAAUACCGUACAUACCAGCAAGCAAUCGACCAUGCGAAAUUGGCACGGGCUCUUUUGGCGCUAAAUAAGGGCCUUUUUCACCCAUGUAAACAUAAGGCAGUCUCAAUACCCAAUAAGCACUUUGUGAUAAUUUGAUGGGUUCUUCUUCACAGCCAGUUAUGAAAAUUGGUGCCGGUGGAGGACCGGGUUGGACUCUUGGAUUCAAUGUUACGUGAACAGGUGCUUUUGGUGUAACUACGUGGAUUCUCAUUAAUUGAGCAAUCAGCGGUUUAGUUUGUCUAUAGAGAAAUAGACAGAAGAAUAAAUAAAUGAUUAAUGUAAUGAUUUUUUUCCACUGUAUUAUUCUUCAAGUGAAUAAUAAUAAUAAUAGAAUGGUGAUGAAAAAUUCAUUUUAUCAAAUUACCUGCACGGACAGGGAAAAUAAAGUGGCAUAUCAGCUGUA